rnacentral:rRNA from 1 species
UACGUAGGGUGCAAGCGUUGUCCGGAAUUAUUGGGCGUAAAGAGCGUGUAGGCGGCCCGAUUAGUCUGCUGUGAAAGUCCAGGGCUCAACCCUGGAAUGCCGGUGGAUACUGUCGGGCUAGAGUCCGGAAGGGGCGAGUGGAAUUCCUGGUGUAGCGGUGAAAUGCGCAGAUAUCAGGAGGAACACCAAUGGCGAAGGCAGCUCGCUGGGACGUGACUGACGCUGAGACGCGAAAGCGUGGGGAGCAAACAGG